rnacentral:rRNA from 1 species
UACGGGGGGGGUAAGCGUUGUUCGGAAUUACUGGGCGUAAAGGGCUCGUAGGCGGCCAACUAAGUCAGACGUGAAAUCCCUCAGCUUAACUGGGGAACUGCGUCUGAUACUGGAUGGCUUGGAUCCGGGAGAGGGAUGCGGAAUUCCAGGUGUAGCGGUGAAAUGCGCAGAUAUCAGGAGGAACACCAAUUGCGAAGGCAGCUCGCUGGGACGUAACUGACGCUGAGACGCGAAAGCGUGGGGAGCAAACAGG